UCAGUGACUUUGAAUCUCUGGGAACAGCAGCUGACCUUGAGGGAAUCCUGUUCUGUCCUUCGUGGGAAUGAACGUAUAUAAAUAAAUACAGGCAGAAGUAUGGACACACAGGCGAGACCUCAGAUGCUGGAAAUCUGGAGCAACACACAC